AAACCAUGCAUAGGACAUUUCCUAAGCAAUUCCUUAAAUCUCUCCUAGGUUUCGUACAGUGUUUCAUUCUCAGAUUACUGAAAAGAUGUUAUGUCAUUUCUGAGCCU
rfam:Gossypium hirsutum cultivar TM-1 chromosome 16, whole genome shotgun sequence